rnacentral:lncRNA from 1 species
UUAUGUUUCACUCAUCAAUUGCAAUCCUCCUUUUCCUUUAUUUAUUAGUAAUAAUAUAAUAAUUGUAUAUGAGCCUAGUCACUACAACAACUAACAACUACUAUUUCUUCUUCUCAACCCCUUUUCUUUCUUUUCUUUUCGUUUCCCCAUUCUAAAAGGUCAAUGGAAGCCAACUUAUUUGUAAAAAGUUUAAACAAGGCCC